rnacentral:rRNA from 1 species
GUGCCAAGCAGCCGCGGUAAUUCCAGCUCCAAUAGCGUAUAUUAAAGUUGUUGCAGUUAGAACGCUCGUAGUCGGAUUUCGGGGCAGUCCGACCGGUCUGCCGAUGGGUAUGCACUGGCCGGAGUGUCCUUUUUGCCGGAGACCGUGCCUACUCUUAACUGAGCGGGGGCGGGAGACGGCACUUUUACUUUGAAAAAAUCAGAGUGUUUCAAGCAGGCAGCUCGCUCUUGCAUGGAUUAGCAUGGGAUAAUGAAAUAGGACUUUGGUGCUAUUUUGUUGGUUUCGAACACCGAAGUAAUGAUGAGAAGGGACAGUCAGGGGCACUCGUAUUCCGCAGAGAGAGGUGAAAUUCUCAGACCCGCGGAAGACGAACCACUGCGAAAGCAUUUGCCAGGGAUGUUUUCACUGAUCAAGAACGAAAGUUAGGGGAUCGAAGAUGAUCAGAUACCGUCGUAGUCUUAACCAUAAACCAUGCCGACUAGGGAUUGGAGGAUGUUCACUGAUUGACUCCUUCAGCACCUUACGGGAAACUAAAGUCUUUGGGUUCCGGGGGGAGUAUGGUCGCAAGGCUGAAACUUAAAGGAAUUGACGGAAGGGCACCACCAGGUGUGGAGCCUGCGGCUUAAUUUGACUCAACACGGGGAAACUUACCAGGUCCAGACAUUGUGAGGAUUGACAGAUUGAGAGCUCUUUCUUGAUUCGAUGGGUGGUGGUGCAUGGCCGUUCUUAGUUGGUGGAGUGAUUUGUCUGGUUAAUUCCGUUAACGAACGAGACCUUAGCCUGCUAAAUAGUGACGCGAACUCUUUGUUGGCGGGCCACUUCUUAGAGGGACAACUUGUCUUCAACAAGUGGAAGUUUGAGGCAAUAACAGG